rnacentral:rRNA from 1 species
GACGAACGCUGGCGGCGUGCUUAACACAUGCAAGUCGAACGGAAAGGCCCUGCUUGCAGGGUACUCGAGUGGCGAACGGGUGAGUAACACGUGGGUGAUCUGCCCUGCACUUCGGGAUAAGCCUGGGAAACUGGGUCUAAUACCGGAUAGGAGCCAUUUUUAGUGUGAUGGUUGGAAAGUUUUUUCGGUGUAGGAUGAGCUCGCGGCCUAUCAGCUUGUUGGUGGGGUAAUGGCCUACCAAGGCGGCGACGGGUAGCCGGCCUGAGAGGGUGGACGGCCACAUUGGGACUGAGAGACGGCCCAGACUCCUACGGGAGGCAGCAGUGGGGAAUAUUGCACAAUGGGCGCAAGCCUGAUGCAGCGACGCCGCGGGGGGGAUGACGGCCUUCGGGUUGGAAACUCCGUUCGCUAGGGACGAAGCUUUUUGUGACGGUACCUAGAUAAGAAGCACCGGCUAACUACGUG